GUGCUUGCUUCAGCAGCACAAAUACUAAAAUCGGAAGGAUACAGAGAAGAUUAGCAUGGCUCCUAUGCAAGGAUGACACGCAAAUUUGUGAAGCAUUCCAUGUUUUU